ensembl:lncRNA
UCUUUAUGAUGACAUACUUUACUAGCCACUUCUCAAGGUGCAAACAGGAAAUAAGCUGCUCUGGUCAUGUUACAAUUUGCACUAAUCAUGUGAAACUGCACAUAUUUAAUUGAGACACUUUAUUUUUUCCAUAUUUGCAGGAAGUGCACUAAAACAUCAGUCAGUAAGGUUUUCAGAGCUUUAUAAAUGGAAACCUUUUUUACGGUCACUAUUGUGACCGGUGGGAUUAAACGGGUUAAUGGUAUUAUUCAAAUAAAAAUAAUCAGUCGUCUGCUGGAACAUUCCGGUGUCCUGGCGGACAUUUUAUUCUACCAAAAUCGCAUGUUCCACACAUGAUUACGAGAGACACGGCUGUGUUUAGGACCUGAAGGACGCGGCGUCACUGCAGGGAUCCUCUGCUCUCAGGCUGUUUACCAGCUCACAGCUCAAAACAAGAGCACGACUGAGCUCUGGUUUGGUGGACUGUUGGUCUGUUGUUGAAGAGUGUAUAACAUCUAAUGGAGAGGACUAUAGGGGAAUUCAACAGACGACAUCCACAGGGAAUAUCUGCCUCAACUGGAAGAGUCUGAACUCACAGACAGAUGUUGGAGAUCACAAUUUCUGCCGCAACCCAGAUGCUUCAGAGAAGCCCUGGUGCUAUGUCUCCGGGUCCGAUGGAGCGACCAGAAAAGAAGCAUGUGAUAUUAGGACAUGCCAAGACCAAAACUCCACAGAAGCCACUGCUCCAGAAGAGUCGGUCCCCACUCAGGGACUCACCCCAAGGAUGGUGGAGACCUUCGAAAACACUGACUCCUUCCCCUCGCAGGUGGAGGGUGCGGCGGUGCAGCCCGUGAAGGGAGUCCGACAGCAGGUCAGGAGUGGACCCAAGAAGAAGAAAGACCUUGGGACUCUCGGUUAUGUUCUGGCCGUCUUCAUGAUGGCCAUUAUCAUCCUACUUGGAGGUGGCAUCACAAUAGGAUACUUCUACAAACGGGGUCGUGACCUCAAGAAACAGCACGAGCAGCGGGUUUACGAGCGUGAGAUGCAUCGCAUCACUCUUCCACUCUCAGCCUUUGCCAACCCCACCUGCGAGCUGGUGGAUGAGAACACCAUCGUCAUCACAGCUCAACCCAACAACCAGACCCCCACUCAGGAGCCCGUCGAGGGGGCCGACCCGCUUAUGGGGACAGCAGGGACCCCUGGAGCCUGAUGGAGGAACAGGAUGAGCGCCUGGAAAGGCGUCUUUGUUAAGACAUGUCUAUGCAGUAUUGCAGAAUCUCAGAGGACUAAACCCCAUGUCCACCUUCCCUCUGCCUGUCGUCUCUUUUCUCUUUACCUUGCCUUUACAGCACGGUUUCACAGUAAAGGUAGGGCAUAUGCCUUGAGAGAGUGGUGGAAAGCAUUUUUUGUCCCAGACAGUGUCCUUAUUUUCUCAACAAAGUUGUUGGGGAAAGUAGGACAUGUGGGGAUACACUGGAAGAAGGUGAAAUGGUGGGUUUGUAUUAAUAUGCAUGUCAGGGAUUCCCGUGGAGAAAAAUUGCAAGUACGUUUUGUGAGCAUCAUCACAGGGCAUGAACUUUCCCUGCUUGUUAAACUCCAACGAGACGGCGACUGUCCAGUUAACUGUGCCGUGUCCUCUGGAUCAGAUCAUCAGAUGUUCUGGGGUUUUGAAAGAGAAGACAAUCCACUCUUAUCUUCUUUCCUGCCUUUUCUGUUGUUUUUGUUCCUAACGCAGUUGUGGUGGAGAGUUGAGACUGAAAUUGUACAUGUGUAUCUGAAUUUGUUGCUCUACAGCUGGGCUGUUUAUUCUUUAGGGAGAUUUGGUUAGCAACUAGAGCUAAUUGAGUUAAUUGCCUUUGAUAGCUCUUCCCCAGAAAUCCAUAUUCAUUAGGCAGAUCAUGUGGCCUGGGAUGCUAGCGCUAAGCUAGGUGAAGGUUUUGACUAAAUGAAGAGGAAAUCUUUCCAGAGAUCUUGCCUUAGUAAAUUACAUUUGAAUGUAUUGUUGCUCCUGUGGCCACAGUCUGAUGAAGAGCAAGUGAGCGCUGUCAUGACUUCAGCAAACCAGUCAGAGUGGGUCUCUGGGUACAUUUACUGUAUCCGUGUUCAUUUGUUCCUGAACAUACAGAUGGUCUGAAAUAGGACAUAGUUUGAAGCUUGAACCUGAAACUGAGAGUGUGUUCAAGAUGACGUAUUAAAGUAAUGUAUUAUGGUUUUAUUUAACAGAGAUGGGAUUUUUUUGAUGAAUG